ACCCUUAUCUCUCAGGUGGGUGGGUUCUGGAACCAACCCUAAUCUCUCAGGUGGAUUCGAGAACUAACCCUAAUCUCUCAGGUGGAUUCGAGAACUAACCUUAAUCUCUCAAGUGAGUUUGACACUAACCCUAAUCUCUCAAGUGGGUUUGAAACUAACCUUAAUCUCUCAGAGGGUUCAAGUACUAAAUCUAAUCUCUUAGCCGGGUUUGAAUACUAACCCUUAUCUCUCAAGUGGAUUUGAAAACUAACCCAAAUAUCUCAGAUGGAUUUGAAAAUUAAUAAGAGGUGUCAACUGUCGACCUGUCGACCUUUGUGAUAACAUUGUAGGUUAACCAAUAAGAGGUGUCAACUGUCGACCUGUCGACCCUUUUAAUGUCAAUGUAGGUUAACCAAUAAGAGGUGUCAACUGUCGACCUGUCGACCCUUUUGAUGUCAAUGUAGGUUUACUGUGGAAUUGUCAAACAUUUUUUGUAAAGGGGACUUUUUAUGGACUAUUUUUAAAAGGAUUUAUUUGGAGGAAUAAGGCAAAAUAUUCCCACUAUCUACAAUAAAAGGAACUAUUUCUUAUCAAAUUUUAAAUUUGAAAGAUGUUAAUCGGUUUUGUGGAACUACUUAUCCGUAU